rnacentral:rRNA from 1 species
GAGUUUGAUCAUGGCUCAGGACGAACGCUGGCGGCGUGCUUAACACGUGCAAGUGGAGCGACGAACCCGGGCUUGCCCGGGGGCAGAGCCGCGAACGGGUGAGUAACACGUGGGUAACCUGCCCCGAUGACCGGGACAACCCGAGGAAACUCGGGCUAAUACCGGAUGAACUCUUCUCUCAUGAGUGAGAUUUGAAAAGGAAGCUUCGGCCUCCGCAUUGGGAUGGGCCCGCGGCCCAUUAGCUUGUUGGUGGGGUAACGGCCUACCAAGGCUUCGAUGGGUAGCUGGUCUGAGAGGACGAUCAGCCACACUGGGACUGAGACACGGCCCAGACUCCUACGGGAGGCAGCAGUGGGGAAUCUUGCGCAAUGCGCGAAAGCGUGACGCAGCAACGCCGCGUGCG